rfam:Schistosoma curassoni strain Dakar, Senegal genome assembly, scaffold: SCTD_scaffold0004812
AUCCAGUUGUGACGAGUCCCAAAUAGAACGAAGUGACGCGCGUCCUGGAU